ACCGGCGAUUUUCCGUCUUUCGGCUCCUACUCUGCUCUCAAACGUUCGCAGUGUAUUCGCUCCUCUAAACUACCUGCUUUUAUUCUUUGUAACUUCUCAAAAGACAUGUUAAUCCCACGCUGCAAUUCCAUUUUGGAGUUAAAUGGUCAAGUUUGGUGUCGAAAUUUGAAGAAUAUUGUGGCUACAAUGGAGGCUUGGCGAACAGCAGCCACGUGGACGCACGUGCCAGGAUCCACUCGGCCAGGACGCCAUUGAAGAUUGGAGGACAUGAUCCAUGGCGUUUGGGACCUCACAUAAAUGGUUUGGGGGUGAGCUGCUCAAGUUUCCAGAACCUGUUCCAUGGUCCUGAGGUUCUGAGCCAGCUGGGCACAGACUGAGGGUUCAUGAAGAGCUGCCAUCUUCUACAUGUUCAUUGAAAUGCUGCAUGUUUAAGAUUGUCCACUGAGGUGGAACGUGACCAAAGUCUGGGCUUCCCUACAGAAGAAAGGAUGGAUGUCUUCAGGAUCAGUGGACUUAGUCAGGAUGUGGAACUGCUCGGACAUUUGAUGGAAAAAAUGCUUUUUAAUGUAAAAUGUUUUAAAUGAAAUAAACAACUUUAAAUUUA